ensembl:lncRNA
CUGAAUUUCUACAAAAAUGGGUUUCCCAAUGUGUUCUAAUAGAUCAUAGAAUCAUUUGAGUUGGAAGAGACCUUUUAAAGGUCACCUAGUCCAGCUCCUUGAAAUGAACAGGAACACCUACAGCUCAAUCAGGCUGCUCUCAGGUCUCCCCAGAGCCUUCUCUUCUCCGUGCUGCCCAGACCCAGCUUUCAGCCUGUCCUCGUAAGAGAGGUGUUCUAUCUCUUGGGUCCCUCCUCUGGAUGUGCUCCAACAGGUCUGUCUCUGUACUGAGGACACCACAUCUGGACAUGGUGCUCCAGAUGCUGCUCCAAGAGAGAUGGCAGUGCAAAUGUAUGUUGUGAACUUGUUCCAAGUCGUACAGAUGUGAACAUUUCUCCAUGAAACCAGAGCUGGAUGCUGAAAUGUCCUGGGCAGACUGUGCAGUAACAUAACCUGUAACAUACAUACUAGCCUCUUGGGGCAGACCACCAAGACUACCAGUACCUUCUUUUCAAAAGCAUCUAAGACUACUGUGCUUCAAAUGAACAAAGUAGAGAACCGGACCACCGCCCCAUCCCCCAAGAAAAGAUCACCCUGAAGCCUUGGUAAGAGGGCUGGCAGGCACACAUUUUUCCAUCCCUCCUUUUCCUCUCCGGUGAUGAUUAAGAGUAUCAGCUGAUACUUACUGUGAGCAAAAGUUUAAACAUUCCUCUUGCAGGUAGUGGAGACAUGAGUUGUUCUGGAGACCUACCGAAAUUGGCUGUCAACUUCCUGCACAGUCAGGCUUUGGAUCAAGGAAAUGGAUUGUUAGUUGAGCAUACUCCAGAGCUGCCUCCAAAGGGUCCCAAAAAUAAGAGCUCUCUAGAAGCUGGAGGAGUCUGAAAGCAUUUACAGGACCAAACUAUCUUGAAAGAGGUGAAGAGGAAAAGCUUGAAUGCUGGUAGAGUUUGAGCUCCAAUGCAUAGAAGUAUUGCUACCAGGAAGAAAGAAGGCAACAGCUUCACAACUAGCAGCAGGAGUCAGCCAGAGGUGUACCCAGGUGGCCAAGAAGGCCAGUGGCAUCCUGGCUUGUAUCAGAAACAGUGCUGCCAGCAGGAACAGGGAAGUAAUUGUCCCCCUGUACUCAGCACUGGUGAGGCCGCACCUCGAGUACUGUGUCCAGUUUUGGGCCCCUCACUGUAAGAAAGACAUCGAGGCCCUGGAGCGUGUCCAGAGGAGGGCAACAAAGCUGGUGAGGGGUCUGGAGCACAGGCCUUAUGAGGAGCGGCUGAAGGAGCUGGGAUUGUUCAGUCUGGAGAAGAGGAGGCCCAGGGGAGACCUUAUUGCUCUCUAUAACUACCUGAAGGGAGGUUGCAGUGAGCUGGGGGUCAGCCUCUUCUCUCGUGUGACAGUGAUAGGACUAGAGGGAAUGGCUUCAAGCUGCGCCAGGGAAGAUUCAGGCUGGACGUUAGGAAAUACUACUUCUCUGAAAGGGUGGUCAGGCCCUGGAAUGAGCUGCCCAGAGAGGUGGUGGAGUCACCGACCCUGGAGGUGUUCAAAGAAUGUUUUGAAUGUUGUGUUGAGGGACAUGGUUUAGUGAGAACCAUUGGUGAAGGGCGAAUGGUUGGACUGGAUGAUCCUGUGGGUCUUUUCCAACCUUGGAGAUUCUGUGAUUCUAAUAACAAAAUUUUCCUGCUGGUAAAUCUAAAUCAAUGCUUUCUCAGUAGCUUUUGAUGAGGAUCUUAAGGGGGUCUAUCAGCAUGACUCCAUUUAAAGUUUCAGUCAUUGUUAUGUUACCUGGGUGACCACAGAUGCUUUGAAGGUAACUUCAGAAAGGCUUAGCAGAAUAUGAGUUUAGCUGAAAUUGGGGCAUGGUGACAGAGGUUAAAGUGGGUAGUGUGCAGCUUUCUGGAAUGCACAGAGACUAGGCUAAUAUUUUUUCUGGCUGAUCACCUCUUGAUCCUCCCGUGUCUCCUACAUUCAUUUUCUGCUGGUAGGCAACAGCACUCACUCCUGUCACACCUGGCCUAGGAGACAUGGAAUGGAAAAACUCAGCCCGAGAUGAAAAACUUAAACAACAACAUAUGAGUUGAUGGCAUCAGGAUAUUGGGAUGACAGAAAAAUUGGGCAGCUGCCACCAUUUCCCAAUCACACAAUUCAGUUUCCUCUAGUAACUGAUGUAAUGCAGCUGCUUGAGAAUCUCACUUUCAUUAUUUUGCUCCUGUUUCAAAGCUGACAAUAAAAGAUAAUGACAUUCAUGAAUACACUAUGGCUUAGGAACUUGAGGAUGCAGAACUGAGAGCUUCAGGCACUUCCACCAGCUGUCCCAAAGGCCAUUCAAGCUGUAAAGCCCUUCCAUCGCUCUGGUUACUGAUGCUACUGGCACUGCCAGAGAAAGAUCAGUUGGGCUGAAUUAUCAAAGUCAAAGCCAGAGGUAGCUCUGAUGGGAAGCACUUGAACAAAUCUCAUGUCUUAACUCCUUACUGUGUAGGAAAUAAAAGGGGGUUUGUGCGUGGGAAGUGGAAGUGCCCUGUUUCUCAUUAUUGAAAUGCACAGCCUUGAGAGAGAGGGUGGAGCCAGCAUGCAAAAGAUAAAUCAUAUUAAUGCUGUUUGUUUCCCUCUUUUUGCCUUCCAGUUUCGUGGUCUGGGAGCUAGAGGCAGAGGGCUUUGCACUUCAGCUGUUAUUUAUGGCUAAAUAACCAGUAAAGGUGCUGGUUGUUUGUUUGUUUGCAGCAAGACAGAGAUAGAUAUGGGGACGUGGGAAAUACAGACCCCAGAAAGUGGAGUUAAAGCGAUGGAUCCUUCAGUCUUGUAAAAGAGUUUGACUGCUCCCAGGUGCCUCAUGAGCUGCUCACUUCAAGAGCCGUCGUGAAGCAGAGCUGUCACUGGGGCUGACAGCUUGACUGUGCCUUGGAGAAUGGGUAUGACUGGUGGCAUGUUUUCAUGCUAAUGGCAGGGAGCAAGUGGACCCACCUGCAGAGCACAGCAGGCUUGGGGGUGUGUCCUCAGAAGAGAGGAGUAGCUGGGAGGCAUCUUGGGGCAGUGAUUUGCAUUGGUCUGUGAGACACCCUGGGUGUACUUCAAUCACCGGCCUUGUCUGAGGGCCAUGUUCAGAUCAGAAAGAAACUCAGAAGUCUUUUCUCUUUUGUUUUGUUUUGUUUGUUGGAAGCUGGGGCUUUUUGGUGGGUAUGUAUGUCCCACAGGAAGCUAUUUCUAUCUUUUUUUUUUUUUUUUUUUGUAAGGGGAACCAUGCAAAGUACUUACUUGUUGUUAAUCAAACCUGCACUUAUCCCACGCUUCUACCCCAAAGCCUGAGGUGCGAUUUCUUGGAACGUUAUGUGUGCUUCAUUGGGAUUUCAGGAAAGAAGACUUACCGAGAAGCCAACCUCAGAAAAAGACCUCAAAAAAAUUCCAGGUUCAUGAAACAUUUCUCAGAAGGCAAGAAACAAUCCCCUGCCUCCCUCCCUGUGUUUAAACAAGGCUGAGCGGAUGGGCAAGAUGCAGCUUGACAGAGAACUUAUGUGCACUGCUAUUAAGCUGACAGAAGCCAGCAACUUCCACCUAUGCCUGCAGUGAACCAGGACUGGGAUGAUGCCCUAGCAACAGCAAAGCAAGGCCUGAGCAAGAAGAAACAGAUGUUACUGUCUCAUCAAGAAGAUGAACUUGAUCAUGAAAAGCCAUGCUUCCAUUUCUCAACUCUUCCUCUCCCUGGAUGGAGACCUCUGUCCCCUUUGCCUAUGUUGUAAUAGGAAGAUCUUGUUGGUAGCUCAGGCUCCAGUUUUGUAGGCUCAUGCAAGAGGAUGGCACUACCACCAAGAAAACUUCCGUUCCUAGAACCAGGAGCGCUGGUCCAGACCCAUGAGAUUUCAUCUUCUAAGCCCCUCUGGCUAAUUGCAAGGUGCUAUAGGCAUAGGAUUGCACCUCGGGAAAUGAAGAAUCUCAGACCUUCAGAAUCCACUCUUAGGUGGAUCUCAUGUUGCUCAGGAAAAAAUGACAUGAGAUUUACACAUUCUGUUACCACUUCCCAGGGUUGCAGCAUCACGCAGCAAAACAGCACAGAGAAAAGUGCCAUGUCCCAUGCUUGCUAGCUGUUUCUUGUGUUGGCUGCUCAGCCUAACAACCGUGCAGAGCUGUCCUUUGCACUCCUACCGUACAGCUGUUAGUAUAGCAUUUUCUAAUUGAUUUUACUCAAUUAACACUUGCUAAUUAAUUUCUAUUAAUUACCUCUCAUUUAGAGACCUGCACAGGCACAGCUAUAAAUCUCCGCACAGCACACUUUCAUGAAUGGCAGUCUAUGUACAAUUAGCAGCAGUUUUUGCCACUCAGAAUUGCCUCUGGCAGGAGAAGGUGUUGAUGAACCCACUGUGCUGGACUCAUGUAGCAUGUGAAGGUGUGUGUUGCAGCUCAGGGGAGUGGGGGCUGUUAGCGUGGGCUGCUGGGAGCCACGUGCUGUCAGUGUGACUGUCCAACAGCGUGCUUGUAACUCCCAUGUCAAUCUGCAUUGCUGUACCUGUGGAUAACCUUGGCCUAGAUGCAGACUUUAUCAUCAUUUCUGAGAAAAUUAUGUUGUUAAUACAUCAUCUGUAAUCAAUAGGCCAUGGCCUUCAUUCAGGAAGACACUUAGGAGCAUGGCUAAUAUCCAUUAUGCAGUCUGGUACCUUUAUGGUGGUUAUUUUUUUUAAGAGCCUGGUAUUCCAUUUAAAAUUGGAUUUGUACUAAACUGAGGCUUUAUGCCUACAGAGGACAUCAGCCAAGACCUGACCAUGAGGUGCCAUGUGCUUACAGUGUAAGGAUGACUUUGAAGCUGGUAAACGCUUACAAGACCUGCUCCAAAAGUAUUUCCUCCUGUCCUAUGAUGUUGGUCUACAACAUCAAAACAGAUGUUGGUGGUAUGGCAGUAGAGACUGAACCUCCCUGCCAAUAUCCCAUUACAUUUUGUCACCAUGUGUUGGAUUGCAGCAGAUGGUAAAUCUGACAUGGAAGUGCACAUGAAAAUGAAGGCUGGAAUUGAAUUUCCUCCUUGGAGAAAAAAAAAAAAAAAGAAGGCACUUACUGACAUUCAUUGACAUUUGCUGAAUGUUUUUGAAGACCAAACAGUGGACAUGAGCACCGUGAGGUGUUGAGUGGUGCAUUUCAACAGUGGUAAUGGUGACGUGAAAGACAAGCCAUGUUCUGGAUGUCUGUGCACUGCUGUCACCACAAAAUGAAGAGUGUUUUGAUCUGCUCAUCCAAGCAAUGUGGCAGAUUAUGACCAGGGAACUCUAAGGAAAGAAAUGCUGACUUCAGUGUGUUGGAAAUGAUGGUGGCAAUGUUGCAGUAUUGCAAAGUUUGCACCAGAUGGAUCCCACAGAUGUUCACACUGGAACAGAAAGAACACCACAUGCACAUUUGUCAGACCUAUUGAACCAAUGCAAGGCUGAAAGUGACAGUUUGCUGGAUCACAUCUUUACCAGUGGCAAGACACAGUAUCACCAUUAUGGGCUGGAGUCAGAACAGCAGUUCAUGGAGUGGCAUAUGUGAAUUCCUCCUUGAAGACAAAGUUAAAGAUGCAGCUCUCAGUGAGUAAAGAGGUGAUCUUUCUGAAUUUUCUGGAACCUGAACAAAUCAUCAGUCCUAACUGCUACAUUGCAAUGCUGACUAAGCUGAAGGGUUGAACAUCCAGAGUCAGGACAGAGAAGAUGACAAUAUUUCUUUUGCAACAUGAUAACACCAGGCCCCAUAGUAGUUUGAAGACCAUGGAGCACAUUACCAAUCCUAUUACACUCACUGUAUAGUCCAGAUUUGGCAAUUUCUGACUAUCGUUUGUUUGGGCCAAUGAAAGAUAGACUGCAUGGGCAUCGUUUUCCUAAUAACAAUGCCAUCAUACCAGCUGUGAAGCCACGGGUCACAUCCUCUGGUAUGCAUGAGCAUGGCACAUAGACUCUUGUCAUUGCUGGUGAAAAUACACAGCUAAUGGUGAUGACUUUGUUGAAAAAUAGUGUUUUGUAGCUGAAAAUUUGCUCUACUAAAUAGUGUUAUUGUUCUCUUUGCAUCUGUUGUCAUUUCCAUGGAAAUAGAUAGAAGGCAUUACAUUCAGAUCAACCUACAUAACAUGGAAAAAGAAAUACUAAUGCAUAGUGCAAGUCAACAGACGGGAGAGAUCACCAUCAGUGCACAUCGUGAAUGAAUCCUUACUAGGCCCUAUUUGAUGUUUUUUCUUGAAAGACAUUUUUGUUGUUAAUAAUCUUUAAUUUUAUUUCAGCAUGAUUCUUUCUAUUUUAAGGAUCUGUUAAGAAUUGUUAGUAAGUAAUUGUUCAUUAGGAUUAUAUCUGAGUUUUGUUUAUUUUUAAUUCUGUUCAGGUUGGGUAGUUUUAAAUCAGAUUAAUACUUAUCUUCUUACUUCACUAAUUGUUGCAUAUUCUGUUCAGUUACAUAUCUUAAAAACAUUUGUUUGUGGGGUGGCCCAGGCCAAGCCUCACUGAGCUGAGCCUGACUUCCACAUCAGACUGGUAGCCAUGCUGCACUCCCUUUCAAAAUGGCAGGGAGCUGAUGUUAAGGAAUGGACCUCAGGGCACGGGCUGGAUGAAGCUGUAAGAAGCUCCUGUACUCCUACAGCACUGCAGCAUCAGGCUGCUUUUUAAUUUAGUCAGGCAUCCCACUUGGAGGAUGAAAAUGCUGAAGGAAAGGGAACCUCCAUGGGCUGUGGGUGAUGAGGCCACCGGAAUGGAGUUUGGACAAUACAAGAGGGAAUAAAUGUGAAAGGCUCAGAGGCUCUUGCUGCAGCUGGAAGUGGCUUGCACUGACCCUGAUGAGAGCACUGUGGUGCUGUGUGCUGGGCAGCAGUCACCAUAUUUCAGCUGCCACCAGCUGUUGGGCAUACAUAAUGUGGAAGACAAAGCUAGAAAAGAAUCACAGUGCCACGAGGGUUUUCCAGCCCCCUAAAUGGCUGCUCCUGCAAAGUGAGGAGACACCAGCCAAAAUCAGGCAGGAGGGACUAAUUCUGUAGAAGAGGAAUGGCUUUGUCUUUAAUUAUGACAGCCUUCAGAGCUCUCUCAGUGCUGGAAUUUGUCUUAAAAAUGGGGAAAAAGAGAAUCUGCCUGUAUUAAUAUUUUCCCAAGCUUAUUUAAGGACACCUAGAAUUGACAAUAGAUCUGAUUGCUUUUAUUUGGUCAUGAAGCUAGGAAAGCCUGACAUAGAUGGUCAUGAAGUCAUAUAUUCUUCAUAGUUUAUGAAUUAUCUUGUGAACAUAUGGAAUACGUGUCAUUAUUUCAACUCCCAGUGCUGGAAACUGUGCAAAUAAAUGACUGAGUCAGAAGGUGAAUCAGUGUAAGUUAGCUCUACUGCCAGUUGCUUAAGAGCACAGUCAUGACAGGCAAUUACUUGGCUAAUUAGAGUAGAACUUUGAACACUGAAAUAAUAGAACCAUACAAUCAUUAAGGUUGGAAAAGACCACUAUGAUCAUCUUGUGCAACCACCAACCUAUCACCACCAUGCCUGCUAAACCAUGUCCCUCACUGCCACAUCUACAUGGUUCAUGAAGACCUCCAGGGAUGUGACUCCACCACUUCCCUGGG